AUGGGAGACAGAACAUCUGGCUUUGGAGCAAGGCUUGACGCUCAACCUCUGCCUCUCCUUUGCUUCGCAUCCUCUUUGCGUCUCUUCCCCGGCAAAGAAAAGAAAAAGAAAAACAAAAACCAGACUCAUCCUUCCUCCCAGGGCGCUGAAGAGAUUAAUGCAUCCUGUGAGUUCUGGAAACCGAGGAGGAGCAACCUCACCAAGAUCAUCCCAUGCCUUGAAGACCCCUCAGUCGUACAGGAAAAGCCAGCCAAUCUGACCACUCAUUUCAGGAAGACAGAGGAUAAAGGGGGGACUGCCUUUCCUCAUUUUCCACACACAGUCCUCAAAAUGCAUUUUUAUGAUUACUUUUCCUUCUUAAAGACUUUCCAUGAAAUUUAUUGAAACCUGGUUUUAUUUGACUCUCGUUCCAAAAUAUUGUGGGUUUUUUUUUUCCUUUUGUAAUUGCCAUUUAAAUAAUCAAAAAUUCCUUAGGAAAGAAAUUUCAAUUUUCUAUAACUUUAUAAAUAUGGAGCAAAUAUACCUGUUUAUCUUGAAUUUUGAUGACUGUCCCUUUUAACACUUUACUCACCUCUGGAGAAAGGAGUUAUCCAAUUUCUCAGAAGUUCUUUGAGAAAGACCAUUAAAUGAAAAACAGAUCCUUACUGCUGCCCUAGAGAAAGAAAGAUAAUUUCAGAUGAUGAAAAAUAACCUUUUAGUUUUUGUUAAGAACUCAAAACAAUUCAUUAUUUUACCACAACAUACCAUUCUGUAUAUUACCUCAAAUAGAGCAGAACAAAUUUUCAGAAUUCUAGACUACUAUUCCAAGAAGAGUUUGAGAGGCAACUGUGGUGCCUUUCCCUCAAAAUUGUUCAAAGUAUGGGUUAUUCCAUAAUAUAAUAAGUAUAAUAUCAAGGUUUUCUAUGACCAGCUUAGUUUAAAAGACUCUGUCCCACCCUAUAAAUAAACUUUUGCCUACCACACCUGAUUUAGAUAUAAGGAUCAUAAUAUCCACUGACCACAGGGAAAAUGUCUUCCAUUAGAAAUACUCUAAACUGUCCACGCAGUAACAUAAAGAAUUUAUACUGAAGUAAUAUACUAAUAAUUCUUCAUAAUAUUUUUAACUUUUUCAGGAAUAUAAAAAUCAGAAAUGGCAUUUUUAAUUCAUGUAGUUGUCUCCCUUUUGUUAUUGGUUUGCUAAUCUCCAAUGGCUUACACAUACAAAGGGAAGGUGUCUUAAGGCUGUAUAAAUACACUAGGUGACUCUGUACACUCCCCAAGUCUAAGCUAACAUAUCAAUGCAGAUGACUUUUAAAUUCUACUUGUCCCUACUUUUUCUUUGAUCUGUCUUCUGAAAUCCAGAACUAUAUUUUCAGUUGACAUGUCCAAAUGACAUUUCAAAUUCAAGUCACACCACCCACCCUUUCCUAAUCGUCCAAGAGAGACACUUUAGAGUUAUUCCUUCCACAUCCCAAGUAGUUCAUUGGUCACCAAUUUUUUUUUAAAGAUUGUAUUUAUUUAUUUGUCAGAGAGAGAACAACCAGAAGGGGAGCAGAAGGCAGAGGGAGAAGCAGGCUCCCUGCUGAGCAAGGAGCCCAAUGUAGGACUCAAUCCGAUGACCCUGGGAUCCUGAGCUGAAGACAGACACUUAACUGACUGAGCCAUCCAGGUGUCCCGGUCACCAAAUUUUUAAAAGCAUUCAAAAUGUUCAGGGGCAGCUGGGUGCCUCAGUCGGUUAAUCGUCAGACUCUUGAUUUCAGCUCAGGUCAUGAUCUCACGGUCAUGAGUUCAAGCUCUGCAUAAGGCUUCAUGCUGGGCAUGGAGCCUGCUAAGAUUACCUCGCUCCCUCUCCCUCUACCCCUCACCCCAUGCUUGCACACUCUCUCUCUCUAAAAAAAAAAAAAAAUUAAAAAUAAAAUAAAAAAUAAAAAUAUUCAAACCAAAGUCUCUCAAACCAAAUUGCUAUUGCAGUCAACAUAGGAGAGUGGUCCAGUAUAUGGAUUUUGGCAUCAGACAGAGCUAUGUUUUAAUCACCACUCUGCAACUACUCAAUCUCUGUGCAGCUCAGUUUUAACCAGAUGAUGGGGAUAAGAAAACCUAUCCCAUAUGGUUGUGUGAGGAUUUAUAAAUGUAACACGUGCUAAGGAAUUAACAUGAUCCCCAGUUCAAAGUGAGAUCAUCAUCCUCUUUUCUAGACUGUAAUAAAAGACUACUAGUAGCCUUCCUGCUUUCUCUCUUCUUUUAUUCCCUCCUCCAUAAACUACACUACUCUACAAUGAAGACACAAUUGCAGUAUUCUUUUAAUUAAAAGCUUCCUGGUUACCAAAGGAAAACAAAACUUUGUAUUGGAGGAACGAAGCUGCCAUCACUACAAUCUAAUGGUCAAC
rnacentral:lncRNA from 1 species